rnacentral:tRNA from 1 species
GGAGAGGUGGCUGAGUGGUUGAAAGCGGCAGAUUGCUAAUCUGUUGUACUUAUUAAAGUGUACCGAGGGUUCGAAUCCCUUCCUCUCCU